rnacentral:rRNA from 1 species
GACGAACGCUGGCGGCGUGCUUAAUACAUGCAAGUCGAACGGAAAGGCCCUGCUUUUGUGGGGUGCUCGUGUGGCGAACGGGUGAGUAACACGUGUGUAACCUGCCCCUGACUUUGUGAUAACUUCAGGAAACUGGGGCUAAUACCGGAUAGGAGCUCCUGCUGCACGGUGGGGGUUGGAAAGUUUCGGCGGUUGGGGCUGGACUCGCGGCUUAUCAGCUUGUUGGUGAGGUAGUGGCUUACCAAGGCUUUGACGGAUAGCCCGCCUGGGAGGGUGGCCGGCCACCAUGGGACUAAGAGAGGGACCAGUAUCCAACGGGAGGCAACAGUGGGGAAUAUUGCACAAUGGGCGGGAGCCUGAUGCAGCAACGCCGCGUGCGGAAUAACGGCCUUCGAGUUAUAAACCGCUUUCGCCUGUGACGAAGCGUGAGUGACGGUAAUGGAUAAAGAAGCACCGGCUAACUACGUG